rnacentral:miRNA from 1 species
UGUACGUGUGUGCACAUGUGCAUGUGUGAGCAUGCACAAGCAUGCUUGCAUGCACACACACAAACACAAACUU